UCCCUGGUGGCUCAGAUAGUAGAGAAUCUGCCUGCAGUGCAGGAGACCCAGGUUCAAUCCCUGAGUCAGGAA
rnacentral:tRNA from 1 species